UACGAAGGGUGCUAGCGUUGUUCGGAAUCACUGGGCGUAAAGCGCACGCAGGCGGAUCGAUAAGUCGGGGGUGAAAGCCCGGGGCUCAACCUCGGAAUUGCCUUCGAUACUGACGGUCUCGAGUCCGGGAGAGGUGAGUGGAAUUCCUCGUGUAGAGGUGAAAUUCGUAGAUAUUAGGAAGAACACCAGUGGCGAAGGAGGCUCACUGGCCCGGUACUGACGCUCAGGUGCGAAAGCGUGGGGAGCAAACAGG
rnacentral:rRNA from 1 species